AUACGUAGGGUGCGAGCGUUGUCCGGAAUUACUGGGCGUAAAGAGCUCGUAGGUGGUUUGUCGCGUCGUCUGUGAAAUUCCGGGGCUUAACUCCGGGCGUGCAGGCGAUACGGGCAUAACUUGAGUACUGUAGGGGAGACUGGAAUUCCUGGUGUAGCGGUGAAAUGCGCAGAUAUCAGGAGGAACACCGGUGGCGAAGGCGGGUGUCUGGGCAGUAACGGGCGAUGAGGGGCGAAAGCAUGGGUAGCGAGCAGGAGUGGAUACCCUGUGAGUCCGUGCCGUAACCGGUGGGCGCUAGGUGUAGGGGUCUGCCACGCUUUCUGUGCCGUAGCUAACGCAUUAAGCGCCCCGCCUGGGGAGUACGGCCGCAAGGCGAAAACUCAAAGGAAUUUACGGGG
rnacentral:rRNA from 1 species